UAUCGAUACUGUACUCAUGAGUAAUAUCGAAAAAAAAUAUAGUACUCAUAAAAGUAUCGAAACAAAAGUAUCGAUACUUCUAGGUAUCGAGUA